UACGGAGGGUGCGAGCGUUAAUCGGAAUUACUGGGCGUAAAGCGCGCGUAGGCGGUUUGAUAAGUCGGAUGUGAAAGCCCCGGGCUUAACCUGGGAAUUGCAUUCGAUACUGUCAGGCUCGAGUCUAGGAGAGGGAAGCGGAAUUCCGGGUGUAGCGGUGAAAUGCGUAGAUAUCCGGAGGAACAUCAGUGGCGAAGGCGGCUUCCUGGCCUAAGACUGACGCUGAGGUGCGAAAGCGUGGGGAGCAAACAGG
rnacentral:rRNA from 1 species